AUGCAUCCAAAGAAGACGGUUCUCUUGGAAGAUUGAUUAAUGACAACCACAAAUCUCCAAACUGCACCAUGAAAAAAAAUCAUAGUAAACGACACGCCACAUUUGUGUCUAUUUGCUGUGAAGAAAAUUGAAAUAGGAAGUGAAAUCGAAUACAACUAUGGUGAUUCACAAUGGCCGUGGCGUAAAAAGGGGCCAAAUCAACAGACUUCUGUUCUAGAGACCAAAACAUCCCUAACAGAUCACUCUUCCCAUGAUGCCUCCAACAAAGAUGCUGUCGUCACGCAGGGGCCAAAGCAACAGACUUCUGUUCUAGAGACCAAAACAUCCCUAACAGAUCACUCUUCCCAUGAUGCCUCCAACAAAGAUGCUGUCGUCACGCAGGU